rnacentral:rRNA from 1 species
CCUGCCGACAGGAUGGGGACAACAUUCCGAGAGGAAUGCUAAUACCGAAUGGAGUCCGAGGAUGGCAUCAUCCUCGGAUAAAAGAUGGCCUCUGAAUAUGCUAUCGCCUGUCGAUGGGCCUGCGUCUGAUUAGCCAGUUGGUGGGGUAACGGCCCACCAAAGCGACGAUCAGUAGCCGGUCUGAGAGGAUGAACGGCCACAUUGGGACUGAGACACGGCCCAG